rnacentral:rRNA from 1 species
AGAGUUUGAUCAUGGCUCAGAAUGAACGUUGGCGGCGUGGAUUAGGCAUGCAAGUCGUGCGAGAAGUCAAUUAGCUUGCUAAGAGACGGACAGCGGCGAAAGGGAGAGUAACGCGUGGUUACGUACCCAGAGGACCAGGAUAGCGUUGGGAAACCGGCAGUAAUACUGGAUAAUAUCUUUGGAUCAAAUGGUGUGAUUCCGCCUGUGGAUCGGACCGCGUACUAUUAGCUUGUUGGUGGGGUAAUGGCCUACCAAGGCUGCGAUGGUUACCGGGUGUGAGAGCAUGGCCCGGCUCACUGGGACUGAGACACUGCCCAGACACCUACGGGUGGCUGCAGUCGAGAAUCUUCGGCAAUGGACGAAAGUCUGACCGAGCGACGCCGCGUGCGGGAUGAAGGCCUUCGGGUUGUAAACCGCUGUCAGUUGGGAGGAAAGGCCUGUGAAGAGCAGGCCCUGACCGAUCUUCAGAGGAAGGACGGGCUAAGUUCGUGCCAGCAGCCGCGGUAAGACGAACCGUCCAAACGUUAUUCGGUAUCACUGGGCUUAAAGCGUGCGUAGGCGGCCUGGCAGGUGAGAUGUGAAAGCCCACGGCUCAACCGUGGAAUUGCGUUUCAAACCGUCAGGCUUGAGGAAGACAGGGGUGUCGGGAACUUAUGGUGGAGCGGUGAAAUGCGUUGAUAUCAUAGGGAACACCGGUGGCGAAGGCGCGACACUGGGUCUUUACUGACGCUGAGGCACGAAAGCUAGGGUAGCGAACGGGAUUAGGUACCUCGGUAGUCCUAGCCGUAAACGAUGAACACUGGGGUUGAGGGGACUUCCACAUCCUCUCGGCCGUAGCGAAAGCGUUAAGUG